rnacentral:ncRNA from 1 species
ACACUCUGGAGAAUUCAUUAAGUUGAAUGCCGAAGGUGCAAGGUCUUAAACGGCCGAAUCUCUCAGGCAAACAGACAGAGCAGAA